rnacentral:rRNA from 1 species
UACGUAGGGUGCAAGCGUUGUCCGGAAUUAUUGGGCGUAAAGAGCUCGUAGGCGGUUUGUCACGUCUGCUGUGAAAACUCGGGGCUUAACUCCGGCCUGCAGCCGAUACGGGCAGACUAGAGUUCGGCAGGGGAGACUGGAAUUCCUGGUGUAGCGGUGAAAUGCGCAGAUAUCAGGAGGAACACCGGUGGCGAAGGCGGGUCUCUGGGCCGAUACUGACGCUGAGGAGCGAAAGCGUGGGGAGCGAACAGG